GCCUGGCUGGCUCCGUUGGUAGAGCAUGUGACUCUUAAUCUCAGGGUGGUGAGUUCAAGCCCCAUGUUGGGCA
rnacentral:tRNA from 1 species